AGUAAAUAGAUACCCAGGUAGUCCACGCCCUAAACGAUGUCAACUAGUUGUUGGGGGAGUAAAAUACCCUUAGUAAACGCAGCUAAACGCGUGAAAGUUGACCGCCUGGGGAGGUACGGUCGCAAGAUUAAAACUCAAAGGAAUUGACGGGGGCCCGGCACAAGCGGUGGAUUAUGUGGAUUAAUUCGAUGCAACGCGAAAAACCUUAACCUGGCCUUGACAUGCCACUAAACGAAGCAGAGAUGCAUUAGGUGACCCGGAAAAGGGAAAGGUGGACACAGGUGCUGCAUGGCUGUCGUCAGCUCGUGUCAUGAGAUGUUGGGUUAACGUCCCGCAACGAGCGCAACCCUUGCCAAUAAUUGCCAUCAUUCAGGUUGGGCACUUUAUUGGGACU
rnacentral:rRNA from 1 species